rnacentral:lncRNA from 1 species
UUGAGAGCAAUUGUAUGAGAAGUAAUUUGAGAGUUUUGAGAAAGGUUCUACUUGAGUGCUCUAAUGAGGAUAUAUUUGGGUGUAUUAGGUUUUUGGGUUUUGAAAGUUUUUUUUUCAAUUUUGUAAAUUUUUAUUUAUUAAUAAAAUUAUCUUUCAGUCUUUGUCCAUGGACGUACGCUUUACGUCGAACCACGUAAAUUAUUGUGUCAUAUUUUUUUUACAUUUAUUUGUCACAUUUAUAUUUCUCCAGAAGUCGCAAUCACUAUAAUAUUGGUAAUUACUCAACUCGUGCUUCCUCAACAAUUAGUAUCAAAGCCGGAGGUUCGUGCUUGGGGUAUACAGUAUUGUUCACGUAUACGCACUAUUCAUGUAUAUUGUAUUGUAGACGUAUACGGUAUUGUUCAUGCAUACAGUGAAUAUGGUCAUUUAUACUUGGGAGACAGUAUAUUGUAAGUAGUGUGUAUUUAUGCAUUUAUAGGAAAGUUCUGUUAACAAGGCAAUAAGAGUCUAAGGAGUCUGGAUUUUAAGUGGAACUAUUGUGACCCCCUUUAUUCUCCUGGGAACUUUCCUAGUGCAUUUAUUCACGCGAAAUUAACAUCAUAAAUAUUGUUUUUCAAGUGUAAAUAAUUGUUGAAGGCAUUGGUCAUUUGGAUUAGGAAUGAUGGCAAAGGCGUCGUCGUCGUCCUCAUCAGUGAUGACUAUUAUG